GUCUAGCCCUGAUUGAAACGGCAUCCUUUUUAUGCUGAACUCGUUUCAGUAUCUCUUGUAAACAAAGAGAGUACUUAUAAAUAGGAACAGAUGCUGAAAUAAAUUCAGUAAUAAAAAGAUAUAGUGGAAAGCAGGAAAUAGC
rnacentral:sRNA from 1 species